rnacentral:rRNA from 1 species
GACGAACGCUGGCGGCGUGCCUAAUACAUGCAAGUCGAACGCAGUGGGGACGGGUGAGUAACACGUGGGUAACCUCCCAUCAGAGGGGAUAACACUUGGAAACAGGUGCUAAACCGAUACUGAUGGAUGGACCCGAGGUGCAUUAGCUAGUUGGUGAGGUAACGGCUCACCAAGGCCACGAUGCAUAGCCGACCGGCGAGGGUGAUCGGCAACACGUGGACUGAGAAACGGCCCGGACUCCUACGGGAGGCAGCAGUAGGGAGUCUUCGGCAAAGAAAGAAAGUCUGACCGAGCAACGCCGCGUAAGUGAAGAGGGUUUUCGGAUCGUAAAACUCUGUUGUUAGAGAAGCGGUAUCUAACCAGAAAGCCACGGCUAACUACGUGCCAGCAGCCGCGGUAAUUC